AGUUCUAUGUUCUACCCCAGCUACUGCUGGCAAGAGAAAGAUGAGACGCUUUAUUUCUCAGUCUCAUAAAAGAGUGCAACAGUGUGUCGGCCGACUCUGGUACGCCUUUAUGUUUAUGGCACUGUCCAGCUUUCUGCGAAUAGCGACUUAUACUGUGGAGCAAUGGAAUUGGAGCAAUGGAAACCUCUAAAACACUUAAUUCGUUUAACAUCCGCUCCUCAAACCCUGCUUGGGCAUUACUCUUCUCCAAAUUUUGAUGGAGUAGAGUUAGCAGAACUCUGAACUUAAUGUUGCCAGAGUGUCUGAGAGUUGUUAUCCCAGUUGGAGGAGAAGAAGGCUGUGACUGCAGUAGAGAUUUAUCUUCUCUGGCUCGCUGCCCCACUUUAGGAACUCCAGGGAGAAG